rnacentral:rRNA from 1 species
UAAGCAAUAGUGAAUCGUGUGGCUCAACCAUACACCCAUUAUUGAACUGGCAAGCUUGAGAGCGAGAGAGGUUACUAGAAUUCCUAGUGUAGGAGUGAAAUCCGUAGAUAUUAGGAGGAAUACCGAUGGCGUAGGCAGGUAACUGGCUCGUUUCUGACACUAAGGCACGAAAGCGUGGGGAGCAAACGGGAUUAGAUACCCCGGUAGUCCACGCUGUAAACGAUGGAUGCUA